GUCGUGAGAUGUUGGGUUAAGUCCCGCAACGAGCGCAACCCUUGUCCUAUGUUGCCAGCGGGUAAUGCCGGGGACUCGUAGGAGACUGCCGGGGUCAACUCGGAGGAAGGUGGGGAUGAGGUCAAGUCAUCAUGCCCCUUAUGUCCAGGGCUGCACACAUGCUACAAUGGCCGGUACAAAGGGCUGCUACUCCGCGAGGAUGAGCGAAUCCCAGAAAGCCGGUCUCAGUUCGGAUUGGAGUCUGCAACUCGACUCCAUGAAGUCGGAGUCGCUAGUAAUCCCGAAUCAGCAACGUCGGGGUGAAUACGUUCCCGGGCCUUGUACACACCGCCCGUCACACCACGAAAGUUGGUAACACCCGAAGCCAGUGGCCCAACCGCAAGGAGGGAGCUGUCGAAGGUGGGAUCAGCGAUUGGGGUGAAGUCGUAACAAGGUAGCCGUACCGGAAGGUGCGGCUGGAUCACCUCCUUUCUAAGGAGUCCUACUUCCUCUCACGAGGGAACUCCUAAGUUGAUCACUGGCUAUUCGGCGAGAUGGUGGUGGCAGGUUUCGACCUCCCACCGUUGAGUCGGGCCGAUCCUCUAUUCCGUUUUGAGGGAGCGACUGCUCCGCGCCACAGUGUUCAUUUUGAAUACAGGGCGUGGAGCCUCUUCGCUCAGCGUCGACUUCGGCGCGCUCGUCCCUUGAGAAUUCCAUAGCGAGCACGAGCAUCUUUGUUCUCCAAGCUACAAAGAGCCAACGGUGGAUGCCUUGGCGCCUGAAGCCGAAGAAGGACGUGGGUGACUGCGAUAAGCCACGGGGAGCUGUCGACCAAGCGUUGAUCCGUGGAUGU
rnacentral:sRNA from 1 species